AUGCUUAUUGAUAUUGCAAUUGAGUCUAUAUAGGGUCUGCUUUCCUUUUUCAAGAAGUAUAGAGAAACUGGCAUUGCAAAAGCAUUGGAAGAUGCAAAAGAAAUUGCACUUGAGAUGGAUAUUCAUCCAGAGUUCCGCACCAAGCGGAAAAUCAAAAGAAGAAGACAAUUCGAUGAGGGCAUAGAUGAUGCAUCUAUUGUUUCACAAUCUGCAGAGGAAUCAUUUAGGGUGAAUUAUUUUCUGCAAGUGGUCGAUCAAGCUAUAGUUUCACUUACCAGGAGGUUUGAGCAAUACCAAGGGUAUGAAAAAACUUUUGGUUUCUUAUUUACUUCAGAUAGGCUGCGAUCUUUGGAUGAUAAGAGUUUGUUGGCUGCUUGUGUUAAUCUUGAGGAUGCACUUAAGAGUGGAGAACACAAAGACAUUGAUGGAGCUGAAUUGCUUUACGAGUUAAUUUUCAUCCAGGAUUUAUUAAGAAAUCUAUGGGCCCCGUUGAUAUUCUUGAGAUUCUGA
rnacentral:rRNA from 1 species